CGCGAUUCAAACCCUGCGAUUCAAACCCAUUUCAACAGAAAUUUACAGUUUUGAUCUCAUUUCAAACGCAUGUGAUAGUUCUGCUGCUGCGUUUUCUCCAGGCAAUCGACAAUUAGUUAGAUCGAGAGAAUUAAAAAGCAUGAAAGACAAUAAUAAUACUAAUACUACCAACUGGCAGUUUUUUCAGGAGAAGCACAAGUUCCUGAUUCUGGCUUUAGCCGUACUCAUCACCGGCGCGCUGCUCCUUUCUACAUUCAUGUUAACCAUUAACAGCCCAAUCUUCUGUACAUUCUCCGCCUACGGAGCCGGACCUAUCAGCUCCAACUCAGGGAAGACCCAGCUCGAGACAAUCCUACAUUACGCCACGUCACGGGUGGUCCCACAACAAAUCAGACGCCGAGAUCAGAGAUUAAACAAUUGUCUGGCUGCAGGACUUGGAAAACGUGUAAUGCUAUAGAAUGUUGCCUUACGCUACACCUUAAAUAAAAUCACCGCACGCCAGACGGUCUAGCGUAAGGCCAUUUAUAUUUUUUAAUUUUCGCCCUUGAUUCAUAAAAUGGACGGAUAUGAUGCUAUUUGCCCAAAUUUCCUCCAUUGCUAUGGAUCAUAUCUCAUAUAUAUAUAUAUGUUUAGUUAGUCCAUUUUAUUAUGUCUCGUACGUAAUAUAUUGCCAAGUGUUAGUAGUGUUAGAAUAGCUAAUUGAGAACAAGCAUAUUGCAAGACUUAUUUUGAAAAAAUGGCAGUCAUGUUUCUCCCACUUUUAUCAGAUACCAACACUACGUAACCAGAAUUCUACAUUUACACUUGAAACAAGUCCGCGAACAUGUGGUGGACCUGAAAAUGCAAAUUAUCAAUUUUACUGGAAUGAUGAUGGUCUGGUCUGGUCUUACUUCUUAGUGUACCUGAGCGCUUACUGAGCUUAUAGCAGGAUUCGUAGCUCUAUGCGGUGACUGACUGACUGACCAAAACUCAAUUUUUAAGUCUGAAAAUAAUAG
rnacentral:lncRNA from 1 species